rnacentral:rRNA from 1 species
UGGUGGAGUGAUUUGUCUGGUUAAUUCCGUUAACGAACGAGACCUCAGCCUACUAAAUAGUCGGAGGAAUAUUUAUAUUCCUUUUCGACUUCUUAGAGGGACAUUCGGUUUCUAGCCGAAGGAAGUUUGAGGCAAUAACA